AUAGAAUAAAAGCCCAGUAGAAUUCUUGGCAGAAGAAUUAGGCCCACCCAUCAUCUCAUCUUCACGCCCUUUUGGAGAGCUAUUAAUCCGGAGAGACCUUUCUGCUUCUCUCUUCUCCUUCUCUGAUCCCAAUCUCUUUAGCAGAGAAGCAUUUAAAGUCUCCGAAUGCUGAUAAUGGAAGAGGAGAGGGAGCUUCCUAAAGGUUUCUUGGGCGUUGACCUUCUGCGAGCCUAAAGAGUUCAAGAAAGGAAGAUUGUGUUGGUAGGGUAGAUCCGCAGGGUCACCGGAGGAGGAAGCCAGAGGAAGAGGUUGGGACUGGCAUCAGGUAUAUGGGAUGAUGGGAGGGAGGUACAACGACAGAUUUGGAAUGAACUAUAGAAGAAGGGCAGGAGGGUGAUGGAUUGGUUGAGGUGGUGAUUGGGUUAGCUCCAUGUUUUUUCAAUGAUUGAGUUUGCAAAUUAAUGGGAGUGAAUAUAAUUGCGGACUUGUUUGGAAAAAUUUUCUUUUAGAUUAUUGUUGAGAUGAGUUUGAAAUGUUGACCUUUAUAUUUGGGCUAAUAGCCCAUAAAUUUCUAACCCUUUCAACUUUUUACAUUUUAAUCCAUUAGUUUUAUCUCUGCAAAUUUUGAAAUAAUUCAAUUACAAACAUAAAAAAAAUGAGAAAAAAAAAAAAGAGUUGUACGGUAUCACUAGAAAGUGCCAUGUGUAGGUUGUGGUUGAGAAGAGGUCAUACUUAAGGUUUGGUACUCUUUUAAUCCUUUAAUAAUCUCUGGAAGAAAGCUAUGCUCGUCCGACGACGAUCCUCUUUCAAAUGUUGCUAGCAGCUAUUAUGGAGGUUUGAUGCUCCACAUUCAAAGCUCUUCCCUAAUAAAUGGAGCUUGCUCUCACUGUCGCUCCUCCUUUGGCUGCUCACCGACACAUUUCUUCCUCCAAUUGUCACUUGAAGGAGGCUAUACGGGGUCAAAUCAACAUCAUAAGAAGAAUAGAGAGAGCUACAGUAGGGACAAAUGAGAUGAGUGAUAAAUUAGGGUUAGGGUAUUUUUGUGUAUAUAAUACAUGACAAAAUGAUGUAGUUUUAAAAAUUAAUUCAACUUGAUUUUUUUUGGUUUUUA